GAUGAACGCUGGCGGCGUGCCUAAUACAUGCAAGUCGAGCGAACAGACGAGGAGCUUGCUCCUCUGACGUUAGCGGCGGACGGGUGAGUAACACGUGGAUAACCUACCUAUAAGACUGGGAUAACUUCGGGAAACCGGAGCUAAUACCGGAUAAUAUAUUGAACCGCAUGGUUCAAUAGUGAAAGACGGUUUUGCUGUCACUUAUAGAUGGAUCCGCGCCGCAUUAGCUAGUUGGUAAGGUAACGGCUUACCAAGGCGACGAUGCGUAGCCGACCUGAGAGGGUGAUCGGCCACACUGGAACUGAGACACGGUCCAGACUCCUACGGGAGGCAGCAGUAGGGAAGCUUCCGCAAUGGGCGAAAGCCUGACGGAGCAACGCCGCGUGAGUGAUGAAGGUCUUCGGAUCGUAAAACUCUGUUAUUAGGGAAGAACAAAUGUGUAAGUAACUAUGCACGUCUUGACGGUACCUAAUCAGAAAGCCACGGCUAACUACGG
rnacentral:rRNA from 1 species